GGUUGGAAACGACCGCUAAUACCCCAUAUGGAGAGGAGAAAAGAAAUUCGCCUGAGGAUGAGCCCGCGAGGAUUAGCUAGUUGGUGGGGUAAAGGCCUACCAAGGCGACGAUCAGUAGCUGGUCUGAGAGGAUGAUCAGCCACACUGGGACUGAGACACGGCCCAGACUCCUACGGGAGGCAGCAGUGGGGAAUUUUCCGCAAUGGGCGAAAGCCUGACGGAGCAACGCCGCGUGAGGGAUGAAGGCCUCUGGGCUGUAAACCUCUUUUCUCAAGGAAGAAGAUCUGACGGUACUUGAGGAAUAAGCCACGGCUAAUUCCGUGCCAGCAGCCGCGGUAAUACGGGAGUGGCAAGCGUUAUCCGGAAUUAUUGGGCGUAAAGCGUCCGCAGGCGGCCUUGUAAGUCUGUUGUUAAAGCGGGGAGCUUAACUCCAUUUCAGCAAUGGAAACUACAAGGCUUGAGUGUGGUAGGGGCAGAGGGAAUUCCCGGUGUAGCGGUGAAAUGCGUAGAUAUCGGGAAGAACACCAGUGGCGAAGGCGCUCUGCUGGGCCAUAACUGACGCUCAUGGACGAAAGCCAGGGGAGCGAAAGGGAUUAGAUACCCCUGUAGUCCUGGCCGUAAACGAUGAACACUAGGUGUCGGGGGAAUCGACCCCCUCGGUGUCGUAGCCAACGCGUUAAGUGUUCCGCCUGGGGAGUACGCACGCAAGUGUGAAACUCAAAGGAAUUGACGGGGGGCCCGCACAAGCGGUGGAGUAUGUGGUUUUAAUUCGAUGCAACGCGAAGAACCUUACCAGGGUUUGACAUCCUGCGAACCCCUGAGAAAUCGGGGGGUGUCUUCGGGAACGCAGUGACAGGUGGUGCAUGGCUGUCGUCAGCUCGUUUUCGUGAGAUGUUGGGUUUAAGUCCC
rnacentral:rRNA from 1 species